AACGAACGCUGGCGGCAUGCCUAACACAUGCAAGUCGAACGAGACCUUCGGGUCUAGUGGCGCACGGGUGCGUAACGCGUGGGAACCUGCCCUUAGGUUCGGAAUAACUCAGAGAAAUUUGAGCUAAUACCGGAUAAUGUCUUCGGACCAAAGAUUUAUCGCCUUUGGAUGGGCCCGCGUAGGAUUAGCUUGUUGGUGGGGUAAUGGCCUACCGAGGCGACGAUCCUUAGCUGGUCUGAGAGGAUGAUCAGCCACACUGGGACUGAGACACGGCCCAGACUACUACGGGAGGCAGCAGUGGGGAAUAUUGGACAAUGGGCGAAAGCCUGAUCCAGCAAUGCCGCGUGAGUGAUGAAGGCCUUAGGGUUGUAAAGCUCUUUUACCAGGGAUGAUAAUGACAGUACCUGGAGAAUAAGCUCCGGCUAACUCCGUG
rnacentral:rRNA from 1 species